rnacentral:rRNA from 1 species
UACGGAAGGCAGCAGGGGGAAUAUUGCACAAUGGGCGCAAGCCUGAUGCAGCCAUGCCGCGUGUAUGAAGAAGGCCUUCGGGUUGUAAAGUACUUUCAGUCGUGAGGAAGGUGUUAAGGUUAAUAACCUUAGCAAUUGACGUUAGCGACAGAAGAAGCACCGGCUAACUCCGUGCCAGCAGCCGCGGUAAUACGGAGGGUGCGAGCGUUAAUCGGAAUUACUGGGCGUAAAGGGCACGCAGGCGGUUAAUUAAGUUGGAUGUGAAAUCCCCGGGCUUAACCUGGGAAUGGCAUUCAAGACUGGUUAGCUAGAGUCUUGUAGAGGGGGGUUAGAAUUCCAUGUGUAGCGGUGAAAUGCGUAGAGAUGUGGAGGAAUCCGGUGGCGAAGGCGGCCCCUGGACAAAGACUGACGCUCAUGUGCGAAAGCGUGGGGAGCAAACAGGGAUUAGAUACCCGU